rnacentral:tRNA from 2 species
GGUGACGUGGCCGAGUGGUUAGGCAGGGGCCUGCAAAGCCCCGUACGGCGGUUCGAAUCCGCCCGUCACCU